AUACGUAGGUGACAAGCGUUAUCCGGAUUUACUGGGCGUAAAGGGCGUGUAGGCGGUCUUGCAAGUCAGAAGUGAAAUUCCUGAGCUCAACUCGGGCGCUGCUUCUGAAACUGCAGGACUUGAGUGCUGGAGAGGCAAGCGGAAUUCCUAGUGUAGCGGUGAAAUGCGUAGAUAUUAGGAGGAACACCAGUGGCGAAGGCGGCUUGCUGGACGACAACUGACGCUGAGGCGCGAAAGCGUGGGGAGCAAACAGGAUUAGAUACCCUGGUAGUCCACGCCGUAAACGAUGAGUACUAGGUGUGGGGGGACUGACCCCCUCCGUGCCGGAGUUAACACAAUAAGUAUUCCACCUGGGGAGUACGGCCGCAAGGUUGAAACUCAAAUGAAUUGACGGGG
rnacentral:rRNA from 1 species